rnacentral:rRNA from 1 species
CAGGGAAUAUUGCGCAAUGGACGGAAGUCUGACGCAGCGACGCCGCGUGGAUGAUGAAGGCCUUCGGGUUGUAAAAUCCUUUUCAGGGGGAAGAGCGAGGACGGUACCCCUGGAAUAAGCGUCGGCUAACUACGUGCCAGCAGCCGCGGCAAGACGUAGGACGCGAGCGUUAUCCGGAUUUACUGGGCGUAAAGCGUCUGUAGGCGGCAGUGUGAGUUGGACGUGAAAGCUCCGAGCCCAACUCGGAGAGGCCGUUCA